rnacentral:rRNA from 1 species
CCCUUAGAUGUUCUGGGCCGCACGCGCGCUACACUGUUCGACGCAGCGAGUCUUAACCUUGACCGAAAGGUUUGGGUAAUCUUCAGCAAAGUCGAACGUGAUGGGGAUCGAUCAUUGCAAUUAUUGAUCGUGAACGAGGAAUUCCUAGUAAGUGCAAGUCAUCAGCUUGCGCUGAUUACGUCCCUGCCCUUUGUACACACCGCCCGUCGCUACUACCGAUUGAAUGGUUUAGUGAGAUCUCUGGAUUGACGCUGGCUAGGGGGCGACCCUUGGCCAGGCUGUCGAGAAACUGCUCAAACUUGAUCAUUUAGAGGAAGUAAAAGUCGUGACA